ensembl:lncRNA
CUUCUUCACUUUUUCCUCUGCCUCUGCCCAGGUCUCUCCUGGUGAUUCAGCGAUGCCAUCAAACACCAGGUUGUUGCGUCUGGACUGUCCCUCGAGGUACUCCAUCUUGUCUGUGGCAACCAGCAGAUUCUCACACAUUUUAUAGAGGUCUGUCUGGGUCGCGCUGCAGCGCUCUGUUUAUUGCGCGUUGGAAUUCUUUACUUCAUCUACCUCCUUCUGCGUGUACUGCAGGCUGGUUUUAAUGUCAUGUAGUUCCCUUGAUAGCGCAUCUAAGCGUGUAUUGGUUGUGUCCAUUAUAUCCUUCACAAAGCUUCUGAAAUUGUCACUUUGUUGCUGUAUCAGCGCCAUAAACAUUUCUUUUUGUUGGAGGAGUAACUCGCUCACCAGGGAAAGGGGUACGUAUUCCUCUUCCACCUUCGCCUCCGCAUUUGACCCUUUGGGUGGCAUUCUGAUGUUUGGCUGGUAACUGCUGCUAGCUGCUGCUGGAGCCAGGUGGAUGGUGGCUGCUGCUCAAGCCUGGGUCUGGUGGAUGGUAGCUGCUAGCUGCUGCUAGCUGCUGCUGGAGCCAGGUGGAUGGUGGCUGCUGCUCAAGCCUGGGUCUGGUGGAUGGUAGCUGCUAGCUACUGCU